CCUACGGGGGGCUGCAGUGAGGAAUAUUGGUCAAUGGCCGGGAGGCUGAACCAGCCAAGUCGCGUGAGGGAAGACGGCCCUACGGGUUGUAAACCUCUUUUGUCAGGGAGCAAGGUGCAGGUCGGGACCUGCUGUGAGAGUACCUGAAGAAAAAGCAUCGGCAAACUCCGUGCCAGCAGCCGCGGUAAUACGGAGGAUGCGAGCGUUAUCCGGAUUUAUUGGGUUUAAAGGGUGCGCAGGCGGAGGCACAAGUCAGCGGUAAAAUCGGGGGGCUCAACCCCGCUCCGCCGUUGACACUGUGUGCCUUGAGUGCGCGAAGGGUAGGCGGAAUGCGUAGUGUAGCGGUGAAAUGCAUAGAUAUCACGCAGAACUCCGAUCGCGAAGGCAGCCUACCGGCGCGCAACUGACGCUCAUGCACGAAAGCGUGGGUAUCGAACAGGAUUAGAUACCCGGGUAGUC
rnacentral:rRNA from 1 species